UGCGGCAUUUUCCACAAGUGUGGUUUCCCUGGCCAAUCCACUUGUAAUGUGUAUUUUGUAAAUAACGCAAAAUGUGCAUUAGAAGUGGAUUGGUCAAGAGAACCGCACUUGUGCAAAAUACCGCAGU
rfam:Arabidopsis lyrata subsp. lyrata unplaced genomic scaffold ARALYscaffold_3, whole genome shotgun sequence.